GUCCAAGGAUGCCCACCAGUCAGCGAAGGUUCGCCCACUGGUGCAUUUGUG
rnacentral:sRNA from 1 species